rnacentral:rRNA from 1 species
CUAAUACCUCAUAUGCUUGAGAGUGAAAUAGAUUUAUCUGCCUAAAGAAAAGCUCGCGGCUGAUUAGCUAGUUGGUAAGGUAAUGGCUUACCAAGGCGACGAUCAGUAUCUGGUUUGAGAGGACGAUCAGACACACUGGAACUGAGACACGGUCCAGACUCCUACGGGAGGCAGCAGUGGGGAAUUUUCCGCAAUGGGCGAAAGCCUGACGGAGCAAUACCGCGUGAGGGAAGACGGCCUAUGGGUUGUAAACCUCUUUUUUCAGGGAGGAAUCAAUGACGUGUACCUGAAGAAUAAGCAUCGGCUAACUCCGUGCCAGCAGCCGCGGUAAGACGGGGGAUGCAAGUGUUAUCCGGAAUCACUGGGCGUAAAGCGUCUGUAGGUGGUUUAAUAAGUCAACUGUUAAAUCUUGAGGCUCAACCUCAAAAUCGCAGUCGAAACUAUUAGACUAGAGUAUAGUAGGGGUAAAGGGAAUUUCCAGUGGAGCGGUGAAAUGCGUUGAGAUUGGAAAGAACACCAAUGGCGAAGGCACUUUACUGGGCUAUAACUGACACUCAGAGACGAAAGCUAGGGUAGCAAAUGGGAUUAGAUACCCCAGUAGUCCUAGCUGUAAACAAUGGAUACUAGAUGUUGAACAGAUCGACCUGCGCAGUAUUAAAGCUAACGCGUUAAGUAUCCCGCCUGGGAAGUAUGCUCGCAAGAGUGAAACUCAAAG